rnacentral:lncRNA from 1 species
UUGUGUUGUUUUCAUCUAGUUGUAAAAUCGUGAACAUAGCAUGUGAAUUUUCAUCUGCAAGCAGCUUCUUACACAGCUUAAGGAUAAAAGCAUGGCUGAUUGACAAAAUUCAAUGAUGCAGUACUACCAUAAAGAUAAUAAAUAGUAUUUUUUUCACUAAUUUAUUGACAUAAUACUUGUUGUAACAUAUUUUAUUUUUGUAUACAAUUAAAUCAUUUAAAG